rnacentral:rRNA from 1 species
AUUGAACGCUGGCGGCAGGCCUAACACAUGCAAGUCAGGCGAGCGGCGGACGGGUGAGUAAUGUAUGGGGAUCUGCCUGAUGGCGGGGGAUAACUACUGGAAACGGUAGCUAAUACCGCAUACCAUCAGAUGACCCCAUAGGGGCUUAGCUAGUAGGUCAGGUAAAGGCUUACCUAGGCGACGAUCCCUAGCUGGGCGGAGAGGAAGACCAGCCAAACUGGUACUGAGACACGGCCCAGACUCCGACGGGAGUCAGCAGUGGGGAAUAUUGCACAAGGGGCGCAAUCCUGAUGCAGCCAUGCCGCGUGUAUGAAGAAGGCCUUCGGGUUGUAAAGUACUUUCAGUCGGGAGGCGGUACCGAAAGAAGAAGCACCGGCUAACUCCGGGCCAGCCGCCGCGGUAAUAC